UACGUAGGGUGCAAGCGUUAAUCGGAAUUACUGGGCGUAAAGCGUGCGCAGGCGGUGAUGUAAGACAGAUGUGAAAUCCCCGGGCUUAACCUGGGAAUUGCAUUUGUGACUGCACGGCUAGAGUGUGUCAGAGGGGGGUAGAAUUCCACGUGUAGCAGUGAAAUGCGUAGAUAUGUGGAGGAAUACCGAUGGCGAAGGCAGCCCCCUGGGAUAACACUGACGCUCAUGCACGAAAGCGUGGGGAGCAAACAGG
rnacentral:rRNA from 1 species